AUGACAGAUACAUAAUUACAAUCUUAAACAAUGUGACAGAUUUAUAGUGUGGACACAGUUACCAUAUAAUUUCAUUCUUGUUCUGCUGCACAUUUUGUUGCUUGCUGAGGUUUUCGCCCAAACUGGGAGAGGCUUGUUUUAUUAAGUAUGAUAACACCUUGAAAAUAAGCAGUAUGCUUUUAAACAAAUUAAAUCUCAAAUGAGCAAUGGUACGUUACUGUCCAAGAGGCAGUUUGCUGACCUUGAAUACACAACGUUAAAGGAACAUUAACGUCAGUAGAUAUGAGAAAAGUCAAUACUUACACUUCCAGAGAAAUUAAAUAAAAACAAUUCUUGUACCCCAUCAUUUCCCAGCAUGACAGCAGAUUUUCAGUUGGGCCAAAGCACUCAGAAAAUCAAAUUAGCCCCUAAAAUCUGCAUUGUUGUGUAGGCCUAGUGAGUUUAUUCUAGUUGAUUUUAGAGCAACGGCGAUAUUAAAGGACCACUAUAUUCACCCAGACCACUUCAGCUCAAUGAAGUGGUCUGGGUGCCAGGUCCCCUAGGUUUAAACCCUUCAGAUGUACACAUAGCAGUUUCAGAGAAUGCUAUGUUUACAUUGCAGGGUUAAUCCAGCCUCUAGUGGCUGUCUUCCUGACAGCCGCUAGAGGCGCUUCUGCAACACUGAAUGCGAAAAUCGCAUUCAGCGUGCAGAACGUCCAUAGGAAAGCAUGAAAUGAGCAUGAGAAAUGCUUUUCUAUGGGUGUUUUUAAG